rnacentral:rRNA from 1 species
UAUUGCACAAUGGGGGAAACCCUGAUGCAGCGACGCCGCGUGAGUGAAGAAGUAUUUCGGUAUGUAAAGCUCUAUCAGCAGGGAAGAAGCAAGACGGUACCUGACUAAGAAGCCCCGGCUAACUACGUGCAAGCAGCCGCGGUAAUACGUAGGGGGCAAGCGUUAUCCGGAUUUACUGGGUGUAAAGGGAGCGUAGACGGUAUGGCAAGUCUGAAGUGAAAGCCCAGGGCUUAACCCUGUGACUGCUUUGGAAACUGUUAGACUAGAGUGCUGGAGAGGUAAGUGGAAUUCCUAGUGUAGCGGUGAAAUGCGUAGAUAUUAGGAGGAACACCAGUGGCGAAGGCGGCUCACUGGACAGUAACUGACGUUGAGGCUCGAAAGCGUGGGGAGCAAACAGGA